AUUGAACGCUGGCGGCAGGCCUAACACAUGCAAGUCGAGCGAGCGGCGGACGGGUGAGUAUUGUAUGGGGAUCUGCUCGAUAGAGGGGGAUAACUACUGGAAACGGUGGCUAAUACCGCAUACUCUCGGAUGAACCCCUAUGGGAUUAGCUAGUAGGUGGGGUAAAGGCUCACAUAGGCGACGAUCUCUAGCGGGUCUGAGAGGAUAGUCAGCCAAACUGCGACUGAGACACGGCCCAGACUCCUACGGGAGGCAGCAGUGGGGAAAAUUGGAAAAUGGGCGUAAGCCUGAUGCAGCCAUGCCGCGUGUAUGAAGAAGGCCUUAGGGUUGAAAGGUACUUUCAGCAGGGAGGCGUUACCCGAAGAAGAAGCACCGGCUAACUCAGUGCCAGCAGCCGCGGGAAUAA
rnacentral:rRNA from 1 species